UACGUAGGGGGCGAGCGUUAUCCGGAUUUACUGGGCGUAAAGCGCGUGUAGGCGGUACUCUAAGUCCGGGGUGAAAUCCGGGGGCUUAACCCCCGAACGGCGCCGGAAACUGGAGUGCUUGAGUGUCGGAGAGGGGAGUGGAAUUCUCGGUGUAGCGGUGAAAUGCGUAGAGAUCGAGAGGAACACCCGUGGCGAAGGCGGCUCCCUGGCCGAACACUGACGCUGAGACGCGAAAGCGUGGGGAGCGAACGGG
rnacentral:rRNA from 1 species